CGGCGGGGCUCACCUCUUCCCAUCCCGAACAGAGUAGUUAAGCCCGCCUGCGCAGAUGGUACUGCAGUUAUGUGGGAGAGUAUGUCGUCGCCUUUC
rnacentral:rRNA from 2 species